rnacentral:rRNA from 1 species
GGAUGGGCCCGCGGCGCAUUAGCUAGUUGGUGAGGUAAAGGCUUACCAAGGCAAUGAUGCGUAGCCGAACUGAGAGGUUGAUCGGCCACAUUGGGACUGAGACACGGCCCAAACUCCUACGGGAGGCAGCAGUAGGGAAUCUUCCACAAUGGGCGAAAGCCUGAUGGAGCAACGCCGCGUGGGUGAAGAAGGUCUUCGGAUCGUAAAACCCUGUUGUUAGAGAAGAAAGUGCGUGAGAGUAACUGUUCACGUUUCGACGGUAUCUAACCAGAAAGCCACGGCUAACUACGUGCCAGCAGCCGCGGUAAUACGUAGGUGGCAAGCGUUAUCCGGAUUUAUUGGGCGUAAAGGGAACGCAGGCGGUCUUUUAAGUCUGAUGUGAAAGCCUUCGGCUUAACCGGAGUAGUGCAUUGGAAACUGGGAGACUUGAGUGCAGAAGAGGAGAGUGGAACUCCAUGUGUAGCGGUGAAAUGCGUAGAUAUAUGGAAGAACACCAGUGGCGAAAGCGGCUCUCUGGUCUGUAACUGACGCUGAGGUUCGAAAGCGUGGGGAGCAAACAGG